rnacentral:lncRNA from 1 species
CUCUCCCGGAGGGGACUCCUCCCACCGCCGAGUUUUCCCGAGAAUGAGGCCGCGCCCACUGACGCGCUGUGGUUCCAAAACGAGAAAGUACUGAAGGCUGAGGCAGGAGAAUUGCUUGAACCCAGGAGACGGAGGUUGCAGUAAGCUGACACAGUGCCACUGCACUCCAGUCUCAGCAACAGAGAGAGACUCCGUCUCAAAAACAAAAAAAAAAGACCAGUGAAUACAGCCCUCCUCCUUUCUUAGGUUUCCCACCGUUUUCGAGAACUCAUGCAGCUCUUCCACACUGCCUGUGAAGCCAGCUCUGAGGAUGAGGAUGAUGCAACCAGUACCAGCAAUGCAGACCAGCUGUCUGACCAUGGGGACCUUCUGUCUGAAGAGGAGCUGGAUGAAUGAGACUCUGGGAAUCAUCUACACAGGACCAAACCCAACAGGCGCCCUGGCACCGGGGAGGGGGUAGUUGUACUCUGCUUGUACAGUCCUUGAGCCCAGUUUACAGAUCUGGAGAGCAGGAGGCCAGGACAAGGACAAAGGCUGGAGGAUGGAGUAGGACCCAGGGGCUCUGCCAUCCUAGGCAUCAUUCAAGGUCUUUUAUGAAGACUUUACAGAUGUCCUCUGUAAAUAGCAUCGAGAGUGGAGUUCAGCUCCUUUCUCUACUUUUUUUUGGUCUGAUGGCACAUAUUUAUUGUUCUGUGGUCUAAUCACAGUGUUUCUAAAUGUAAAAAGUGCAUAUGUUGGUGUAGCUAGUCCCGCGACAUUGAGCUCCUCUGCAUGAAGACACUGGGCUCCUGCAUCCAGCUGUUUUUAUUGCAAACUAGCUCCUUUCUCCCACACUGGGAACUUUAGUCCACGAGGCUGUCACCACCCUGGUAGCACUGGGCCAGGCUUUGUAGCUCCUGCAGCAGCUCUGCUACGUCAUCGUGCUCCACUCCAGCAUCCAUGAAGCUGGCCCAGCGCCGCAAGUCGAGUUUGGUGAGGUCUCUGGCCAAGGCUUCCAGGGUCUGGUGCAGGGACGAAGAGGAACACAGUGCCCCAAACACUGGGAUGCUCUCCACUGCUGUGGAGGGAGAGGAAACAGAGACCUGUAGAUGGAUGAUUAUUCUGCCCUGGGACUCGCCAAACUGAUAAGGAAGUCCAACCUUAGUAGACUUGAUUGUAAACUCAACAAAUUUGGUGUAUUGUCCCCUUAGUACACCAGUACUCCAGAGGAAGAAUGCUUUUCUUGGGAGCCAUAGGGUGAAUAAAGGAAUGUUUAACUGUG